UGGGGAAUUUUGCGCAAUGGGAGCAAUCCUGACGCAGCAACGCCGCGUGGGUGAUGAAGGCCUUCGGGUCGUAAAGCCCUGUCAGGUGGGAAGAAUGUCCCGGGACUGAACAGGUUCCGGGAGUGACGGUACCACCAGAGGAAGCACCGGCUAACUCCGUGCCAGCAGCCGCGGUAAUACGGAGGGUGCAAGCGUUAUUCGGAAUUACUGGGCGUAAAGCGCGUGUAGGCGGUCCUGCAAGUCUGAUGUGAAAGCCCCGGGCUUAACCCGGGAAGUGCAUUGGAAACUGUGGACUUGAGUACUGGAGAGGAUGGGUGAAUUCCCGGUGUAGAGGUGAAACUCGUAGAGAUCGGGAGGAACAUCAGUGGCGAAGGCGCCCUUCUGGGCAGCAACUGACGCUGAGACGCGUAAGGGUGGGGAGCAAACA
rnacentral:rRNA from 1 species